CCUACGGGAGGCAGCAGUGAGGAAUAUUGGUCAAUGGCCGGAAGGCUGAACCAGCCAUGCCGCGUGAAGGUCAGUGCCCUAUGGGCGUUAAACUUCUUUUUUUCUGGGGCAAUAAUGGUCAAGUGUGGCCAGACGAUAGUUACGUACGAAUAAGCAUCGGCUAACCCCGUGCCAGCAGCCGCGGUAAUACGGGGGAUGCAAGCGUUUACCGGAAUUAUUGGGUUUAAAGGGUGCGUAGGCUGUGAGGUAAGGCAGCGGUGAAAUGCCUCCGGUCAAAGGGGUGAAGUGCCAUUGAUACUGCCAUGCUGGAAUGCGGAUGCCGUGGGAGGAAUGUGUGGUGUAGCGGUGAAAUGCAUAGAUAUCACACAGAACACCGAUUGCGAAGGCAUCUCACGAAUCCGCGAUUGACGCUGAUGCACGAAAGCGUGGGUAUCAAACAGGAUUAGAUACCCCUGUAGUC
rnacentral:rRNA from 1 species